GGUCUCUUUUAUUUUUGAAUUUUUUUUCUCGCCUUUCUCUGUUUCCUUCCCCAUUUCGAGUGGCGAGAGCUUGCAGGCAGAGAUGGCCCCGGCUUGCUUCUCCUCAAGCGCGCGCUGAGGGAACAGGCGAAGUCGAGGCCAUGGCGAUUUGGCUGUGCUGUGUUCUCUGUUUCGCUUGAUUUCGUACCGCUCCUCUUUUCCUGUGGUGAUCUCCGAGCCCUGUGCCCCCCACCCUCCACCCAAUUGAGAUGGCGAGAUUGCGGAAAGCUUACAGGCAGGAACCCCAUGCCAUUUCUCCCUGGAAUCCAGAAUAAUUUUCCUGCUAGAUGCUGAGAAGUAGGAGAGGGGGCUGUUUCUAGGGAGAAGUGCUUAGUGAAAUGCAGGGUUGGAAACCUGGGACCCGUUUAGUUAUUGUGGGACAAGGACAACGACAUUCAGAGGACAGGAAGGAACAGAGGACAGAUGACAUUUGUCAAAUUCUGGAUGGCCAAAAAAUAUGACUGAAAGCGAAUUGAAUUUAAGUCAAAUGUAAAACAGACAGUCCCUAUAAAAAACUACAAGAUCAAUGCUCA